CGAAUACGAAUAUUCGAAUAUAUAGUCGAAUUUGAAUCGAAUAGUGGGAUAUUUGACUCGAUUCGAUUCAUUUACACCCCUACUGGGAAUCAUAAC